AGUACAUACAACAAGAAAAGUCAAACCUCAUAAUUAGUCAAGAAAUUCAAAUUCAAACAACAAGGAGGAUCAAUUUCCACUAUCAAAUGGGCACAGAAUUAAAACAAAAAAUUUAAAGAGGUACUCCUAAGGAAUUAUUUUUGAGGAACUAAGAAAAAGACCUACUCCCAAUUCGACAAGAGUGUCAGCAAGAAAAAUUAGAAGGAAAAUAGAAACUUUUUGAAGGAAAAUUUGGCAACAAAUAUUAAAAAUAUUAAGCUGUACCUCUAUCCUCAUUGGAGGAGGUCAUCCAGGGCACAGGAUGGUGGGCUGACCCCGCCCUCCCCCGACGAGCUACACACGGGCAGUGGGAGGGACCACACUCUCUCCUCUGUUGUUGGAGUGACCUUCUGCCCAGUGCUCCGGGUAGGAGAUGGUUUCAGGGACUCGCCUUCAGAGAGUGACACGUUGUUGAGACCUACCAAACUGAGUAGGUGUCUGAACCCCAAUGAGGCCUCUCUAUAAGCUUUUAAGAUUUGGUGGACAGAUGUGGAGAUCUAUUCAUUGCACAGCCCCUUGGAGGCGAGACUUUUAAGUUUUCUGCCUUAUCCCACCUGCUGCCUCUCAAUGGAGCCUCUUGAUGGAGCCUCUCAAACGGAGCAUGGUCUCUCUCUCUUCUGUCUCUCCUUGACCUCUGUGGCCAGUGACCAGUUCAGAUUUCAUCCAGGAAAUUCCCAAGUAUAUGAACCAACACUUCUUCACCCAGAACUCUGCUUUAUUAUCUUCAAGGCAAGAAGUGGCAACAUGACAAUGGCCCUGAUGUUAGAGGACUUGAGUUGGUUCCUGAACAUGCUUCUCACUACCUGUGUACCUGGGGCAAGUCUUUUGGUCGCUGUCACUUUGGUUUCCUCAUCUGGCUAAUUGGGAGUACAGAUGAUGAUAGCAGUAGCACCUGCAUCACGGUCUGCCAUGAGGACUGAGUGUAACCACAUUCCUGUCGUUCUUGCAGUCCCUGACACCGAGUGAGGCACUCACUGUGUUACUAUCACCAUCACCAUCAAAAUGACACCACUGAUGUGCCCCAAUCAGAAAGACAAGACAGCCCGAAAUGGGGAUCCCAGGGGUAACGUUUUCACAUUUAUUGUGUAAAUCAGCAUUUUUUAAAGAGUUGGAUUUCUAGAUGUUUCCUUCCCAUAGAGUGGAGGACAGCCAUGCAAUUAGUCUUUUUAUAACUGAAUAUCUCUGUACAAAGCAAAAAAGAGGGAAGGUAUGGGUAACUGAGACAUUGCUUUCCACUUACC
ensembl:lncRNA